ACACGCAUGACACACUGCAUAUCAAUAAGCGGAGGAAAAGAAACUAACUAGGAUUCCCUCAGUAACGGCGAGUGAAGCGGGAAGAGCUCAAAUUUGAAAUCUUAAAGGGUUUCCCUUUACGAAUUGUAGUUUAAAGAAGUGUUUUCUGUUGGAGUUUUGGUAAAAGUUCUUUGGAAUAGGACAUCAUAGAGGGUGAGAAUCCCGUAUUUGACCUAUUAUUUCCUAGCUUUGUGAUACACUUUCGAAGAGUCGGAUUGUUUGGGAAUGCAGUCCAAAAUGGGUAGGUAAAUUUCAUCUAAAGCUAAAUACUGGCGAGAGACCGAUAGCGAACAAGUACCGUGAGGGAAAGAUGAAAAGAACUUUGAAAAGAGAGUUAAACAGUACGUGAAAUUGUCAAAAGGGAAGCGUUUGACACCAGUGUUGUUUUCUCGAAAAUCAAUUAAAAAAGAUUGGAUUUUGUGUUGUAUUGACUUCAUCAGCUUUCUGCACUCUUUUCUUGUCUUUUUUAAUGCACUUUUCGUUUAACAAGUCAACAUCAGUUUCUUUUGUUGUAAAAGGGUCAUUGGAAGGUGGCUUUCAUUUCGGUAGAAAGUGUUUAUAGCCUUUGAUCCUCCUGCAAUCGGAGAGAUUGAGGUCUGCAGCGUAGAUCCUUCGGGGUUAGAUACAUUUGUGCUAAGUUAUAGUUUUUCAUAGACAACCUGUUGACUAUGAUUAAUCAUGUAGCUUACUCGCUUAUGCUAUUUUACCUACGCUUAGGAUGUUGAAGACUCUACAGAGAUA
rnacentral:rRNA from 1 species